UGAGAAACGUUGAAUACAGGAAGAAACAGCUGAGCUGGGAUCUGAACCGCUGAGCUCAGAAGGCAGCCAUUCCAUCCAGUGUGAGGCAGGAAGAAAGGGGCUAUGCCAGUGACCCUGGUCCCUUUUCUAACCAGAGGUUCCCCAGAAAUUCCCGAGCACCCUUCCACUUUCAUCUCACCGAGCAGGCCGGUGUCACGUGGCCACCCCGAGAGUGUCCGGGAAGGCGGCUGUCACCUGGGUUCCACCACCAGCAGAGAGACAGACAGACAGAACCUGCACCCAAGACCAGCAACCCAGAUGGCAAGUGAGCCAUGUCGGUAGAGAGAUUUCUCAGAAAAGGAAACACUGGUAGCCCUUAAGCAGACGGAAAAAUGCUCAACUUCUCUCACAAGAAGAGCAAUUAAAAUGGAAAUAACACGGCGAUGCCGCUUGGCACCUAUCAGAUUGGCAAAAAUCCAAAUGUCUGACAGCACGUUCUGUUGGUGAGACUGUGGGGAAGCUGGCGGCCUCGUGCGUGAAGGGAAAAAUGGCACAGUCCCUGAAGGACACUUUAUGUCCCCAUCGGGAUGCCAUAGCCACAGACCUGAAAGCCCACCCUCCCCUGGGGCUUCCUCGCUGGCUAAGCCAGAUUCCCGCAGGGUUUCUGUUACCUAGAAGCAAAUAAUAUCCCUCUCUCACCCCCUCCCCCCAAAGCUCAGCAGCCAAGAGGUUCUGUUCAGAAGCCAGAUCACAGAGCCUACCUGGGUCAUUUAGUGAGGAGCCAAGUCCAAGCAGGUCCAGGUCCAAACGCUGAGGUCAUCCCUAAGGGCAGAUCUCUCCCAGUGACCUGGCCGUGAGCCAAGCCCGUUCUAGAAACAGUGGGUGUGCCCUGCCCAGGGUGACCCUAACCCAGUG